UCGGUUGCAAUUCUGCAAAGGAUUCUGUCAUGCAUUUGCGCACCGUCACAUUAGGGCAAAAUAUUUCCCACUUCCUCUAAUUGCACCAGCCACUCUCCCGCGGAGGUAAACACAUCAUUGCGUAGCACUCUCCCACCGACGCAGACACAUCUAUCGCCAGCCACCCCCUCAACGUUGACAUCGAGUUCGAUCAUUUCUAAGGUUUUUGUACCAGCGACCGGGACUUGGGAGGCUUAAUUGUGCUUGGGAAAAAGCCUAUGCAGUUUCAUUAACCUUGCUGAAUCGAUUAGGUUUAGUUCAAUCUCACUUUGCAACUGCAAUUUCAGUUGAUUCUAUGGAUCAAAUACUAGCUUGUUGGUUCCUUCUGCUACCAAAAUUUCAAAAUGUGUUGCUCGAUUGGGAAACUCGAUGGGUCAAAUCUGACUGGAAGAGAGAUGAGAACAUGGCUGGUGAAUGGAAUCACACUUAUGGAAAAUGGAAUCGAAACUAAUCACAAAGUAUCCAGACAAGCGAAGAUUAUAGAUUCCAUGCCAUUUCUGUUGAGUUCCCUAAAUGGAAUAUAUUCCUAAUCCCAAGACAAGAAGCCAGAGGUGAUCAAUUGUUCCAUACAUAAUUGAAAGAGCACAUAUCCUACGUAAUGACUGCUAAAUGAGACAUCAAGUUGGAGGUGUGAGUGUUUGAUGGUAAAGGCGUAGUGAUUCUAUUUAGCAUGCUUGUUUAAGAGAUAUGGUCUUUGCAGGACAGACAUUAGCAAAUUAUCAGAGUGAUGUUUACAAGGCACUGGGGAUAGCAGAAGAGCAAUGUGAGCUUUAAAUGGGCAUGUCCGAAGACUUUGAGCUUGUUAUUGAGAUGGGCAGAACAUAACCGAGUUCCAUGAUGUUUUGUGAUUAUUAUGCAUAAGAUUCGUCCUAAGUCAUAGCCUUCAAAGAGCAAUAGGUACUUCAAAUACCAACUUUAUUGGGUGUUUAAUUUAAAUGGAUCCCUGAUGAAACAGUAUAAAAAAUGCAGUACUUGUGAAACCAAACUUAAUGCUUUUGUGCAAAAGGCAUGUAUCACAUAGCUUAUUAUUAUCAUUUUUCUUUUCUCAUUAAUGCAAUUGCUUCGUUAUGUUGUAAUUUAGUUGUUGUUGGGAUAUGUCAUCAGUUUUGCAUGAAAUUUUAACAUGGGAUGUUCUUUGUUUUCAA